UUUGCCUACGGGACGCAGCAGUGGGGGAUAUUGCACAAUGGGGGAAACCCUGAUGCAGCGACGCCGCGUGAGCGAUGAAGUAUUUCGGUAUGUAAAGCUCUAUCAGCAGGGAAGAAAAUGACAGUACCUGACUAAGAAGCCCCGGCUAACUACGUGCCAGCAGCCGCGGUAAUACGUAGGGGGCAAGCGUUAUCCGGAUUUACUGGGUGUAAAGGGAGCGUAGACGGCGAUGCAAGCCAGAUGUGAAAGCCCGGGGCUCAACCCCGGGACUGCAUUUGGAACUGGGUGGCUGGAGUGUCGGGGAG
rnacentral:rRNA from 1 species